rnacentral:rRNA from 1 species
GAUCAUGGCUCAGAACGAACGCUGGCGGCAGGCCUAACACAUGCAAGUCGAGCGCCCCGCAAGGGGAGCGGCGGACGGGUGAGUAACGCGUGGGAACGUGCCUCUUGCUACGGAAUAGCCUCGGGAAACUGGGAGUAAUACCGUAUGUGCCCUACGGGGGAAAGAUUUAUCGGCAAGAGAUCGGCCCGCGUUGGAUUAGGUAGUUGGUGGGGUAAUGGCCUACCAAGCCGACGAUCCAUAGCCGGUUUGAGAGGAUGAUCAGCCACACUGGGACUGAGACACGGCCCAGACUCCUACGGGAGGCAGCAGUGGGGAAUCUUAGACAAUGGGCGCAAGCCUGAUCUAGCCAUGCCGCGUGAGCGAUGAAGGCCUUAGGGUUGUAAAGCUCUUUCAGUGGGGAAGAUAAUGACUGUACCCACGGAAGAAGCCCCGGCUAACUCCGUG